rnacentral:rRNA from 1 species
AUGUAUCUCGCCGUCCCGGGACACAACACCUGCGCGACCGCAAGCGCACUGGAAGGAUCGCGACCGCCACAGCCGGGCACUACGACACGACACUCCCACCUCCACGCCCGCGCGCGGAGGACGAACGAGGGAGGCUCCGGCCCUGAGAUGCUCGCGGUGUUCGACAGGGCGGUGGCGCCGAGCCCGGAAGGGCUACAGCAGCCGGGCGAGGCCGGGCACGGCGCGGAGGGGGUCGCAGCCCGGUUACGAGAGGCCCGCCCGGAAGCGGUCACCGUCGACUUCGGCGGCCACCGCCAUGGCCUACUCUUCCCACCGCCAGAGGCCCUUCCUCCCCAGCGUCAGCUGCAAGCAUGGAGAUGCCCGAGCAUGAUCUCACAUAAAUUUUGUCCUCUGCCGUGA